GGAUUGUGGCUUAGUGGUAGAGCACUUGUCUAGCAUGUAUGAGGCACUGGGUUUGAUUCUCAGCACCA
rnacentral:tRNA from 1 species